rnacentral:rRNA from 2 species
UACGUAGGGAGCAAGCGUUGUCCGGAUUUAUUGGGCGUAAAGGGCUCGUAGGCGGUUCGGUAAGUCGGGUGUGAAACCUCCAGGCUCAACCUGGAGACGCCACCCGAUACUGCUGUGACUUGAAUCUGGUAGGGGAGCACGGAAUUCCUGGUGUAGCGGUGAAAUGCACAGAUAUCAGGAGGAACACCGGUGGCGAAGGCGGUGCUCUGGGCCAGUAUUGACGCUGAGGAGCGAAAGCGUGGGUAGCGAACAGG